rnacentral:tRNA from 1 species
UCCGUUGUAGUCUAGUUUGUCAGGAUAUUCAGCUCUCACCUGAAAGACCCGGGGUUCAAGUCCCGGCAACAGAA